CGAACGGGGAGAUUCAUCGUCAGCGACGCUGGCUUCGCGUCGGCGGGCGAUGCCCCGCGGGGCCCUCGCGGCUCUCGCGCGGGCACGCUGCCGUGCGUCGACGUCCGGCGCUCGUCGUCGUGCACUUCUCCCCUAGUAGAACGUCGCGACCCGCUGGGUGUCGGUCUACGGCCCGGGUGCGGUGUCUGACGCGUAGCCGGUAAAACGGCGCGCGUCAAACCCCCGGUCGCCCGGCCGGCUGCCCGGCGGUACGCGCAAGGUAUCAGGCCGCAGAUCUACGGAGUGCGUCGAGGCCGUCGCAAGCGCGCGCCACGGUUAUUCAACACGGCUGUAUACGGACCUAGCGCCGUCACCGUGCCUGGCCCGCUGUUGGUCGUACGGUUAACCUUCGACAGGCCUGCCAACGUCCCGCCCGGGGGGUCAAAGCCCCGGCGCGGGACCGAUACCGGUCGGCGACGCU
rnacentral:rRNA from 1 species